UAGUGUCUACGUGUCAAGUCCUGGACCUCAUACGUGAAAAUGUAAGCAAAAGCUAGUCUCCUUCAUGUAACAGCUGUGGCAGGACGCACUUCAGAUACAAUCCAAUCCAGUUCAAGCUCCUUGCUUCUGUUCUCUCUCUCUUUCUCUUCCACUCGGCGUAGCACUUCAUAUACGAUCCAGUAUCUUGUUUUGGGGUGCACACCGUUUUGAAAGUUCUGGUGUUUUUUUUUUUUAUGAGUCGGGAGUAAAGGAAAGAAGGCAACUUCCAGGCAUUUUAAGGACAACCGGUAACUAAACCCACCAUAUUUACAGUAAUUGGGCUUUCUUCUAUCAUAAGCAAAUUGCCCAUCAACUGAGUCUUGGGAUUGCAAGUGAAUCUUUUGCAUUCUAUCAGUGUAUACUAUCCUUGAACUGAAAUGUAAGUAUAAUUUGGAAUGCUCAUUUCUUAUCUAAAAUCAAUACUACCCAACUCCUGCUGGCAAAAGCAUAAAAGAGCAAGACCUCACACUCUUAAUCUUGUUCAAUACUGCUAAACCACAGCCAUUGAAUUGGUAGGCAAAUACCUCUGGGUUCAAGUUCUACUAUAUUACUACUAUCAUGUUUUACAAACUUUAGGAAAAUUAAGCUAGCCACAAAAACAAUAACAGAUAGAUUUUGUGUGAAAAAGUAAUUUCUUCUACGUGAAAAAAUUUUUGGGAAUUAUGUGACAUGGGACUGCAUUUGGGAUUUGCAUGAGUUGGGACUCAAAUGAAAUGAUGGUUUGUAAGAAUGCUCAGGAUUGCAUGCUCAAACCUGUUUUGAUCAGAUAGUGAAAUAAAUAGGCGUACUAAACUGCAAGAUGGGGCUAGGGCCUAGGGGCAUUAUCUGGUGUUUUCAGAAGUAUCAAUAUGCUUUUUGACAUUGUAUUGCGGAGGAAAUAUUCUGGUGGCUGUUGUUGAAUCUCUUCCUUCUCCACUUCUUUACUAAACUGCAAGGAAUGAUUAUUAUGACUAAACAAUUCUUUGUGUAUUAUUAUAAUCUUUAUAAACAUGUAAAAUUUCUUACAUUCAAUCUUAUGAUUUUUUUUUGUCAAUUAAAUUAAGAGGAAACAAUAUCUCAUUCCAGUGUUUUGGAUCAAAGUCACUUUUUUUCAAUCCAUUUUAGGAAAUACUUUGUGAUGCCCUUUGGAAAAUAGAUCGUGAAUUCUGGCAGCAUGGAAUUUUGAUACAUUUAGUUUACUGUUUAAAAUGUGUGGCCAUGAUGUUUACAUUUCUUUAGAUAGAUGUUCAACUGCUCUAACAUAAUUUUGUGAUAAAUUUUGUGGUCUCUGUUGUUGUCUAACAGUUAGUUGUACUUAAUCUAGAUUUCACAUUUGAAGUCAUCAGUAUGCAUAUUGCUCCCAAAAUAACCAACAAUCCUUUUCUUCUACUGGUUCUACAUCAGUUUGGCAUUAGGGCUAGUUCUACCUCAAUUUGAUAUUAGAGCUUGUUCUACAUCAAUUUGGUAGCUUGUUGUACUUCAAUUUGGUACCAGACUUGUUCUACAUCAGUCACAAUACUAUUUAUUGCACAUGCAUUGCAUGUGUCGUUUUGUGUAAUUUGUUAGCCUGUAAAUAUACUUUUCUGGUUAAAAGGCACACAUUCAUUGAUUAUAAAUAAUAAAGUGUUCUUAGAAGCAUUUUUUUCCCUACAUAAAUUUUGACAAUUGUUGCAAAUGCAACUAUAAUCGAUAGUAGAUUAAUGAUAUAUUGAAUGUAAACCAAUUUUUACAUGCUCUUGCAUUAUAAUUUAUUUUGUGAUUUCUUGAGCUUCUUUGAUAUCUUUUUUGCAUUAUUGCAUUCUUCUAUAUAAAUAUUGAUUGAAAUGCAACGAAUAAAAUAAAAUUAAAAGGGAAAACAUUCUGAAUAAAUCUAGUACACGCUUAUGACAAAAAUUAGCAUCUAAUGGUUCAUGUAGACUCUUUAAUUUGCUACUGCACUAUUUAAUACAUCACAUACAAAGGCAUAAAUUCUCUUGAAAUAUUUAUGUUAAUUUAUAUUGUUGCAAAAAUUUUAUUACUUUAUAAUAUUCUUACAUCAGAAAUAAAAAUUACAGGGCCAAAUUUCGUUUAUAAAGCUGUUUGAGAGGUAUCAAACUCCAUGUUAUGAUUACAAAAAUUACAU
rnacentral:misc_RNA from 1 species